AUUGAACGCUAGCGGGAUGCCUUACACAUGCAAGUCGAACGGAGUGGCGAACGGGUGCGUAAUGUAUCGGAACGUGCCCAGUAGCGGGGGAUAACUACGCGAAAGCGUAGCUAAUACCGCAUACUAUUGGCACGGGCGGUCUCGGAUUAGAUUGUUGGGUGGGGAAGGGCGCACCAAGGCGACGAUCCGGAGCUGGUUUGAGGGGACGACCAGCCACACUGGGACUGAGACACGGCCCAGACUCCUACGGGAGGCAGCAGUGGGGAAUUUUGGACAAUGGGGGAAACCCUGAUCCAGCCAUCCCGCGUGUGCGAUGAAGGCCUUCGGGUUGUAAAGCACUUUUGGCAGGAAAGCGGUACCUGCAGAAUAAGCACCGGCUAACUACGUGCCAGCAGCCGCGGUAAUUC
rnacentral:rRNA from 1 species